GGCCCGAUGGUUUAGGGGUAUAAUACUCGCUUAGGGCAAAAGCCGUGUUAUUCAUAAUGUUGGCUUAUAACUCUAAGUCGUUUGCGAGUGGUCCCGGGUUCGAUUCCCGGUUGGGCCC